AGUGAACGCUGGCGGUAGGCCUAACACAUGCAAGUCGAACGGCAGCACAGUAAGAGCUUGGCUUUACGGGUGGCGCGUGGGGGACGGGCGCGGAAUACAUCGGAAUCUACUUUUUCGUGGGGGCUAACGAAGGGAAACUUAUGCCAAUACAGCCUACGACCUACGGGCGAAAGCAGGGGAUAUUCGGUCCCUGCGGGAUUGAAUGCGCCGAUGUAGUAUCUGCUAGUUGGCGGGGUAGAGGCCCACCAGGGCGACGAUGCGUAGCUGGGAUGAGAGGAUGAGCGGCCACACUGGAACUGAGACACGGUCCAGACUCCUACAGGAGGCAGCGGUGGAGAAUAUUGGACAAUGGGCGCAAGCCUGAUCCAGCCAUGCCGCGUGGGUGAAGAAGGCCUUCAGGUUGUAAAGCCCUUUUGUUGGGAAAGAAAAGCAGCAGGUUAAUACCCCGCUGUUCUGACGGUACCCAAAGAAUAAGCACCGGCUAACUACGUG
rnacentral:rRNA from 1 species